AGAAGGUUCCGGACGAGGAGGAGGAAAGAUGGCACGCGAAAUGGAUCCCAUCCGAGCGGAAUGAAUGGACUUGCGGAAGAGGAAUGGCCCUAGAUGCUUUGCAUAGAGACAAUUCCAUAUCUGAUCUCCAGAUUCCCAUACAGGGCUGAGAAAGACACUUGAAGCCCAUUGUUGUCCAUCAGCGAGUACCAGCAUUUGAAAAGCCUCAAAGAAGAAGAAGAAGAAAAACGACCUUGAAAACAUUCACAGUGGAGUGGAUCAGAGAAACACAGACUCUCUCUCUCUUUCUCCAGGGUUUUGGUGCCAGAGAUUUUGGUGCCAGGGUUAAUUAACCUGAAUCUAAGAGCGUGGACUACGUACACCCGUCAGUUUCCUCUCCAACAGUCCCAGGGGCAUCUCCUGCCAAAGGGACUUUUUACAUUGUGGAAGCUCAGACUUAACUUAUUACAGAAGCUGGAACAGCACAUGACAGGUCAUUGGUGUGAUUCUUUCCACUGGGAUGUGUUGUGUGUGUUUUAAGCAACCGAAAGCAGGGCAUCCAGAUCUUUUCCCCUUUAGGGAAACAAACAGAUGAUGGGACUCGUUGGCUGUGAGAGGGAUGUAAGGGAUGAAUAAAACAGCCCUUCUCUUCUUUUGCAAAAGUGUUAAUGAGGUCUUGAGCAAUGCCAAAGCAGCUGAGCCCAACCUCCUGACUUACUUCAAAGAAGAAAUGGGAGGGGGGAAAUAACUUUUUUUUGGAGCGCAGCUCCCAGAAGACCACAGAGAA